UGUGUGUACAGGAGAGGAGUGGAUAAGAGAGCUGCUUUUUCAUGAAACGGGGGUAAAGUAGUAAACCUACAGGAACAUAUACCACUACCAACGUUUGGAUAUUUCUCUCUAUAGUUUCUCUCGGUUCGUGGGCUCAUCUAAAGCUGAGUAACAGGAGGAAAAGAGUCUGGUAGAGCAACAGAGGAACAAUUUCAGCCAUUUGGACUCAGCUCAGCCACUACAGAGGAAAGAAUGACUUCAACACAAAAGGACCAACGUGGAGCGAGAAGUCAGUGCUCUCAGGAGGCUGACAAACCUCACAGAAGAAAG